UACGGGGGGGGGCAAGCGUUGUUCGGAAUUACUGGGCGUAAAGGGCUCGUAGGCGGCCAACUAAGUCGGAUGUGAAAUCUCCGGGCUUAACCCGGAAAGGUCAAUCGAUACUGCGGGGCUAGAGUGCAGAAGGGGCAACUGGAAUUCUCGGUGUAGCGGUGAAAUGCGUAGAUAUCGAGAGGAACACCUGCGGCGAAGGCGGGUUGCUGGGCUGACACUGACGCUGAAGCGCGAAAGCUAGGGGAGCGAACGGG
rnacentral:rRNA from 1 species